rnacentral:rRNA from 1 species
UACGAGGGGGGCAAAUGUUGUUCGGAAUCACUGGGCGUAAAGGGAGCGUAGGCGGGUUCUUAAGUAAAGUGUUUAAUCCCGGGGCCCAACCCCGGACCGGCACUUUAAACUGGGAAUCUUGAAUAGGGGAGAGGUCAGUGGAAUUGGAGGUGUAGCGGUGGAAUGCGUAGAGAUCUCCAAGAACACCAGUUGCGAAGGCGGCUGACUGGACCCAUAUUGACGCUGAGGCUCGAAAGCAUGGGGAGCAAACAGG